rnacentral:lncRNA from 1 species
UUUUAUUUAUUUUGAUAGUUAUCAGAUUUUGAAUAAAAAAAAAAACAAACAAACAACUAUCCUAAGUUUACUCCCUACACAACCGCCCACUUUCUUUGUUUUUCUUUUCAUACGUUUCCUUAUUUUUCUUUCUUGGUUUUGUUCUUUUUUUUUUCCUUUUUGGUUACUUUUGGUCACUACCAUUGUUCUUUUGCUUGAAUCGUAGAUUGGUGCUCAGUGUAAGUUUUCGCAAGAAUACAUUUUUGGGUCUUUCGUUACUAUUCUGAUUUUAUUUUGUUUCUUGAGUAAGGUGGAUUGUACUUGUAUAACUUUGUGCGAGGUUUUGAUGGGUAAUUUUUGUGUUGUUCAGUUAGGCGAAGGGUAUUGAAUCCUAACAUUCCAGCGAAGUAAAUUCGAUUGUUCGAUGUUGUUCGAGGAAGUAAGUAUUUGGACUCCAUUUAGAGGCUAUAAUUUCAAUUUAGGGAGGUUAUUUUGCUUGUGUUUUACGAAUUAAUUUGGGUAAAUUGAUGAACGAAUGUAGGUUUUGGGGGUUCUAGAAGCAUGCUUAUUCUAACAACGACCAGGAGUGUGAAAAUACCCAAAAAUUCCUUAGAAAUUCGAUUGAUAUUGUGAAACAAAAGCUGUUGCGAAACUGCCUAGUUUUCACACGGUCGUGUGAAUUAUAAGUUGUGUUAUUAGUAAAAUGAAUUAUGUAAGCAUGUCCUGUAACAUAUGCUAUAUGUAUGUAUGUUGUCUGUUUAUGAUUAUAUGAUAUGUAUAAUAUACGAAUCUGAUAUGUAGAUGUUUGGGGUGGGAUUUGUUAUGAUGGAAGAAAUGUGUAUGGCAAUAUUUACUGCAAAAAUGCCAGCUAGACUGCAAAACUAUAUGUAUGGCAGCUUAGUUGCAAUUAUAUGAGUGGCAGACCACCACAUAUUGGUGUGAUUGGAUAGAUGGACUUGUGUAGUCCAAUAUGAUGUGAUUGGUUGGACGGAGCUGCUGUGUAACGGAUAGGAGUAGAAUAUGUUACGCAUGUUAUGAUUUGAUAUGAUAUGAUAUGUUUGUUAUAACCUAGAAAGAUGUGAUAUGGUAUGAUAAGCUAUAAUUCCUAUGAAUUUUGUUAUGAUGUGAAAUAUGUAAAAUAUGUAAAACAUAAGUUUGUGAUAUUUUGAUUAAUGUAUUCUUUUAUGUAUUGUGAGUCUGGGUCAAAUUGUACAUUGGGUCUUAAAGCUCACGAUUUUAUUUGCUUGUCUGAUUUCGGGUAACCUUUCGAACUAGGAUUGGACGGCGACUUGGAACUCGAAAUUUCAUGUUUUUGAACUAAGAAUUAUGGGUUGUAUUGUUUUAUUCGAUUUGGGCAUUACGGACAUUUUGAUUGGGUUUGUUAAUUUGGAAUAUUUUGUGUUUGUUAGAUUAUUAGGAUCACAUAUAUAAGUUAUUAUCAUGCUAAGACUUAAACUGGUUAAUGACACCUAAUUUUAAAUAACUAAAAUGAAUACCAGUUUUUUUUUUCCAAACGAUGGGAAUUUAAUGUUUUUCUGCUGCAAAACAAAUUAGGCAAUUUUGUGAAAUAGGGUUUUUGACAUAAAAAUGUGAUAUGAAAAUUUUAACUUUAAAUUUUGAAACACUACUAAGCUUUGAAGUUUUUGAGCAGUUGGAAUGCUAUAUUUGUUUUCAAAUGUUUUACUAGUUUUUUUUUCAAAUCCACUAUUUUUUAUUGUAACUUCUAUUUAAGCAUGGUAACCUUCACAAUCCGACCAUAACAUUUAGUCCAAGUUGGGGUGUUACAAAAUACAUAUAAUUAGUAAGAAAAUGCUAAGGGUAUGGUAAGCUUGUGUUGCAAUUUGCUGAAAAAUCUGACAUUCUUUUAGGGAAUUUGUUGAAAAAUCAGGAAGGACUUACAUUCAAGUUUCAAUUUGUGGGAAAGGAUUUUAAGUUGCAAGGUACAUUUGAAUCGAUUGUCAGCAGUGGAAAAAAAGGUGAAAAAAGAUGAACUGCAUUUCAAAGUGAAGGUGAAGGAUAUGGAGCCAAACCAUGAGAGGAAAAGAAGGCUACCAAAUCAAUGGAGAAUGAAAAGUUGAAGCAUAAGGAUGAUAAGGGGGAGAAACAUAAAGAGAAGGAUAAGGAAAAACAGAGGAUAGUGAGAUUGGAGAAAUGAAGAAUAAAGAGGAGAAAAAGAAAGAGAAAUGAUGAAAACACAAAGAAAAAAAUGAAAAAAUACAAAGAGGCGGAGAUGAAGAAAGAAGGAAAACACGAGGAUAAAGAGAUGGUAAAGAGGUGGUAAAAGAAUAUGAAGAGAAAUAAGAGAAGAAGAAAGAAAAGAAGUAUAAGGAGAAAGAGGUUGAGGGAGAAGAAGAUGAACACAACAAUGAGAAGAAAAAGAAGAAAGACACAGAGAAGGAAAAAAGUAAAACCCAAUCAUCCUUUCUCUUUUUACCCUAAACCAAUCUUUUCUAUUCUUUUUUACCUUUGACUACUUGUCCAACGUGGCAAGUCAAUUAGUUAACUAGCCAUGUCAGUUGUCCAAUUAAGCCUAUGAUGAAAAAUGUUAAUGAUUGACUGAUUUGUCAUUUUUCAAAAGUUAAAUGACUGAAUUGAAACUUAAGUGACUGUUUUUUC